rnacentral:rRNA from 1 species
AAAUGUGGGCCGACUGUUGUGUUGCCUGCUCGCAAAAAAUGUUUUGUGUGGGCGGUGAGAUACGCGAUCGGGGUUUAAAACUUAAAAACUUGACGGACUACACUACCAGGAGUGGAGUGUGCGGCUUAAUUUGACUCAACGCG